rnacentral:piRNA from 1 species
UGUUUUUUCAAGAAGUUAAGUGAAGUAUC